GAUGAACGCUAGCGGCAGGCCUAAUACAUGCAAGUCGAGGGAGAAUGUUGGAUUCGUCUGACAUGAAACCGGCGCACGGGUGCGUAACACGUAUGCAACCUACCUUUAACUGGGGUAUAGCUCAGAGAAAUCUGAAUUAAUCCCCCAUAAGACUACGACAUGGCAUGAAGAUGUAGUUAAAGCCCCGGCGGCUAAGGAUGGGCAUGCGGUACAUUAGCUAGUUGGUGAGGUAAUGGCUCACCAAGGCUACGGUGUAUAGGGGGUCUGAAAGGAUGAUCCCCCACACUGGUACUGAGACACGGACCAGACUCCUACGGGAGGCAGCAGUAGGGAAUAUUGGUCAAUGGACGCAAGUCUGAACCAGCCAUGCCGCGUGAAGGAUGAAGGCCCUAUGGGUCGUAAACUUCUUUUAUUAGGGAAGAAAAAACGGGAAGCGUCCUGUACUGACGGUACUUAAUGAAUAAGGAUCGGCUAACUUCGUGCCAGCCGCCGCUGUAA
rnacentral:rRNA from 1 species